rnacentral:rRNA from 1 species
GCAACUCGCCUGCAUGAAGUCGGAAUUGCUAGUAAUCGCGGAUCAGCAUGCCGCGGUGAAUACGUUCUCGGGCCUUGUACACACCGCCCGUCACACCAUGGGAGUCGGUAACACCCGAAGUCUGUAGCCUGACGCAAGAGGGCGCAGCCGAAGGUGGGAUUGAUGACUGGGGUGAAGUCGUAACAAGGUAUC